AAACGAAACUCAAUAACGGACCAGUGCCGUGCUAGUUGAGUGCUGAGAGACUAAAAUUUGAUUUUUGUUUCCCCUUAAACUGUUAGAUCUCCAUUCUAUUUUCAACCUGUUCUCCGAUCCGGGUUUGUAAUUCAUCAUUUUCCUGGAUUGGUGAGACGAAAUGGCUGCUCCACCUGCUAGAGCUCGUGCCGAUUACGAUCACCUCAUCAAAUUACUCUUGAUCGGCGAUAGCGGUGUAGGUAAAAGUUGCCUUCUUUUACGUUUCUCGGAUGGAUCCUUCACCACCAG
rnacentral:misc_RNA from 1 species